rnacentral:ncRNA from 1 species
UGUGGGAGAGACUGGCACUUUGAUGUCAGCGCCGAAGGAGCAACCGCCCCGGAAUCUCUCAGGCAAAAGGACCGCAAUG